rnacentral:lncRNA from 1 species
GAAGAUUUAAUGUACCACAGAGAGCAAGGACAACUUGUCCCUAGCCCUGUUAGAGGGCAAACAGGAGAUGUUAAAGGAGAAGACCAGUUCAGAAGGAGCAGCUCUGAAAAAGAACUUCUGAGCUUGACUGAGGCUCACAGUCGUUUAAUCUACAACAUGGACCGGAAAUGUGCUAUAUGGCAGAUGACUGAUGUGUUAGGAGAGGCCACAUCUCUUUUUAGUGCUAAAGGCAGCAGAAAGUCUGAACUGAUAAAAUUUGAGACCUGGCAACUUUGUUAG